CCCUUAGAUGUUCUGGGCUACACGCGUGUUACACUGGUAUCUUCAACAAGCAUAAAUAUUCCUUACCCGAUGGGGUCGGGCAAUCUUUUAAAAUGAUAUCGUGAUGGGGAUAGAUCAUUGUAAUUAUUGGUCUUGAACGAGGAAUUCCUAGUAAGGGUAUGUCAUCAACAUGCCCUGAUUACGUCCCUGCCCUUUGUACACACCGCCCGUCGCUCCUACCGAUGAAUGGUCCGGUGAGGAUUUAGGAGGACCGCAGAUCUUGGUGUAAAAGCCAUUCUGUUGUUUUGUCCAAAUUCAUUCAAACCUUAUCAUUUAAAGGAAGGAGAAGUCGUAACA
rnacentral:rRNA from 1 species